UACGUAGGGGGCAAGCGUUGUCCGGAAUCAUUGGGCGUAAAGAGCGCGUAGGCGGCCCUGUAAGUCCGCUGUGAAAGUCAAUGGCUCAACCCUUGGAUGCCGGUGGAUACUGCAGGGCUAGAGUCCGGAAGAGGCGAGUGGAAUUCCUGGUGUAGCGGUGAAAUGCGCAGAUAUCAGGAGGAACACCGAUGGCGAAGGCAGCUCGCUGGGACGGUACUGACGCUGAGGCGCGAAAGCGCGGGGAGCAAACAGG
rnacentral:rRNA from 1 species